rnacentral:rRNA from 1 species
GACGAACGCUGGCGGCGUGCCUAAUACAUGCAAGUUGAGCGCUGAAGGUUGGUACUUGUACCAACUGGAUGAGCAGCGAACGGGUGAGUAACGCGUGGGGAAUCUGCCUUUGAGCGGGGGACAACAUUUGGAAACGAAUGCUAAUACCGCAUAAAAACUUUAAACACAAGUUUUAAGUUUGAAAGAUGCAAUUGCAUCACUCAAAGAUGAUCCCGCGUUGUAUUAGCUAGUUGGUGAGGUAAAGGCUCACCAAGGCGAUGAUACAUAGCCGACCUGAGAGGGUGAUCGGCCACAUUGGGACUGAGACACGGCCCAAACUCCUACGGGAGGCAGCAGUAGGGAAUCUUCGGCAAUGGACGAAAGUCUGACCGAGCAACGCCGCGUGAGUGAAGAAGGUUUUCGGAUCGUAAAACUCUGUUGGUAGAGAAGAACGUUGGUGAGAGUGGAAAGCUCAUCAAGUGACGGUAACUACCCAGAAAGGGACGGCUAACUACUUG